UGGGGAAUUUUGGACAAUGGGCGAAAGCCUGAUCCAGCAAUGCCGCGUGUGUGAAGAAGGCCUUCGGGUUGUAAAGCACUUUUGUCCGGAAAGAAAUCCUUGGCUCUAAUACAGUCGGGGGAUGACGGUACCGGAAGAAUAAGCACCGGCUAACUACGUGCCAGCAGCCGCGGUAAUACGUAGGGUGCAAGCGUUAAUCGGAAUUACUGGGCGUAAAGCGUGCGCAGGCGGUUUGCUAAGACCAAUGUGAAAUCCCCGGGCUCAACCUGGGAACUGCAUUGGUGACUGGCAGGCUAGAGUAUGGCAGAGGGGGGUAGAAUUCCACGUGUAGCAGUGAAAUGCGUAGAGAUGUGGAGGAAUACCGAUGGCGAAGGCAGCCCCCUGGGCCAAUACUGACGCUCAUGCACGAAAAGCGUGGGGAGCAAAACAGGAUUAGAUACCCUGGUAGUCCACGCCCUAAAACGAUGUCAACUAGUUGUUGGGGAUUCAUUUCCUUAGUAACGUAGCUAACGCGUGAAGUUGACCGCCUGGGGAGUACGGUCGCAAGAUUAAAAACUUAAAUGAAUUGACGGGGUCAUAGCUGUUUCCU
rnacentral:rRNA from 1 species